AUACGUAGGGAGCGAGCGUUGUCCGGAAUUACUGGGUGUAAAGGGAGCGUAGGCGGGACUGCAAGUCAGAUGUGAAAUACCGGGGCUUAACCCCGGAGCUGCAUUUGAAACUGGGGUUCUUGAGUGAAGUAGAGGCAAGCGGAAUUCCUGGUGUAGCGGUGAAAUGCGUAGAUAUCAGGAGGAACACCGGUGGCGAAGGCGGCUUGCUGGGCUUUUACUGACGCUGAGGCUCGAAAGCGUGGGUAGCAAACAGGAUUAGAUACCCUGGUAGUCCACGCUGUAAACGAUGAUUACUAGGUGUGGGGGGACUGACCCCCUCCGUGCCGCAGUUAACACAAUAAGUAUUCCACCUGGGGAGUACGAUCGCAAGAUUGAAACUCAAAGGAAUUGACGGGG
rnacentral:rRNA from 1 species